CAGUCGCCACGGUAAUACGAAGGGUGCAAGCGUUACUCGGAAUUACUGGGCGUAAAGCGUGCGUAGGUGGUGGUUUAAGUCCGUUGUGAAAGCCCUGGGCUCAACCUGGGAAUUGCAGUGGAUACUGGGUCACUAGAGUGUGGUAGAGGAUAGUGGAAUUUCCGGUGUAGCAGUGAAAUGCGUAGAGAUCGGAAGGAACACCAGUGGCGAAGGCGGCUCACUGGUCCAUUACUGACGCUGAGGUGCGAAAGCGUGGGGAGCAAACAGGAUUAGAUACCCCGGUAGUCCCUGUCUCUUAUAC
rnacentral:rRNA from 1 species